UAGGGAAUCUUCCGCAAUGGACGAAAGUCUGACGGAGCAACGCCGCGUGAGUGAUGAAGGUCUUCGGAUCGUAAAGCUCUGUUGUUAGGGAAGAACAAAUGUGUAAGUAACUGUGCACAUCUUGACGGUACCUAACCAGAAAGCCACGGCUAACUACGUGCCAGCAGCCGCGGUAAUACGUAGGUGGCAAGCGUUAUCCGGAAUUAUUGGGCGUAAAGCGCGCGUAGGCGGUUUUUUAAGUCUGAUGUGAAAGCCCACGGCUCAACCGUGGAGGGUCAUUGGAAACUGGAAAACUUGAGUGCAGAAGAGGAAAGUGGAAUUCCAUGUGUAGCGGUGAAAUGCGCAGAGAUAUGGAGGAACACCAGUGGCGAAGGCGGCUUUCUGGUCUGCAACUGACGCUGAUGUGCGAAAGCGUGGGGAUCAAACAG
rnacentral:rRNA from 1 species